rnacentral:tRNA from 1 species
GAGAGGUGGCCGAGCGGUCGAAGGCGGCGGUUUGCUAAACCGUUAUAGGGAGAUAAUCCCUAUCGAGGGUUCGAAUCCCUUCCUCUCC